CCUACGUGCGGCAGCCGUGAGGAAUAUUGGUCAAUGGACGAGAGUCUGAACCAGCCAAGUAGCGUGAAGGAUGACUGCCCUAUGGGUUGUAAACUUCUUUUAUAAAGGAAUAAAACGAGGCACGUGUGCCUUUUUGCAUUUACUUUAUGAAUAAGGAUCGGCUAACUCCGUGCCAGCAGCCGCGGUAAUACGGAGGCUCCGAGCUUUAUCCGAGUUUAUUGGAUUUAAAGGGAGCGUAGAUGGGUUGUUAAGUCAGUUGUGAACAUUUGCGGGUCAACCGUAAAAUUGCAAUUGAUACUGGCAGUCUUGAGUACAGUUGAGGUAGGCGGAAUGCGUGGUGUAGCGGUGAAAUGCUUAGAUAUCACGAAGAACCCCGAUUGCGAAGGCAGCUUACUAAACUGUGACUGACAUUGAUGCUCGAAAGUGUGGGUAUCAAACAGGAUUAGAUACCCGUGUAGUC
rnacentral:rRNA from 1 species